rnacentral:rRNA from 1 species
AACGUAGGUUCCGAGCGUUAUCCGGAUUUACUGGGCGUAAAGCGCGUUCAGGCGGUUUGGCAAGUCGGGCAUGAAAUCUCUCGGCUCAACCGGGAGAGGUUGUCCGAUACUGCUGGACUUGAGGGCAGUAGAGGGUGGUGGAAUUCCGGGUGUAGUGGUGAAAUGCGCAGAUAUCGGGAGGAACACCAAUGGCGAAGGCAGCUCGCUGGGACGUUACUGACGCUGAGACGCGAAAGCGUGGGGAGCAAACAGG